rnacentral:lncRNA from 1 species
AGAAAAUGUGGAUUCAAACUCCUGCUGCACAUCUUGUAUGCUUUUUGAUUUUGAAAGAGUUUUUUUUUCCUUUUUGAGCCUUGGCUUCCAUAUAUACAAAAUGAAGUUACUAAUAAUAUCAACCUUAUAGGAGAUGGCCUGGAUUCUGCCAUGUAAAUCAAAGAAGAGAGGGCCUAACUCAGCUGCCUAGCCUGGAUCACCUGGAACCCAUUAGGAUACAGGAUCAUAAACACCUCUAUUUUCCCUUCAGAGAGAGACCAGAACCACUGGAGUUAAGCUACCUGCAUAAGAGUUGAGUGCGAUCAGCUGUACUUAAUCUUUAAAUGUCCAACCCACUGAUAACCUUUGGUUUGCUUUGAUAACUAUGAAAUAAAUUCUCA